rnacentral:rRNA from 1 species
CCCUUAGAUGUUCUGGGCUGCACGCGCGCUACACUGAUGCGAUCAACAAGUUCUUCCUAUGUCGAUAGACACGGGUAAUCUUUUGAACUCGCAUCGUGAUGGGGAUAGAUUAUUGUAAUUAUUAAUCUUCAACGAGGAAUUCCUAGUAGGUGCAAAUCAUCAGUUUGCAUCGAUUACGUCCCUGCCCUUUGUACACACCGCCCGUCGCUGCUACCGAUUGGUUGAUCUGGUGAAUUAUUCGGACUGCCGGCUGAAGGGGUUUCCUCAUCUGCCAGCGGAAAGUCUUGUUAACCCUAUCAACUAGAGGAAGCAGAAGUCGUAACA